UUUGCCUACUCUGGAGUCAUGAGGAUAUAUUCCUGAUACUCCUGUGUUUUCUUAAUGUCUAGGUCUACAUCAUAAAUCAUUAAGGGAAAUGUACUUAGAGAGAUGCAAAUCAGAGCCAAUAAGUUAUCACUGCACACUCACCAGAAUGGCUAAAAUUAAAGAAAAAACUGACAAUACGUACUAAGUGUUGGCAAGGAUGUGGAGUAACUGGAAUCAUCACAUACAGAUGGUCCCCAACUUUUGAUGGUUCAAUUUAAAUUUUCGACUUUACGAUCAGGCAAAAGCAAUAUGUGUUCAGUAGAAACAGAACUUCAAAAUUUGAAAUUUGGUCUCUUUCCAGUGAGUCACAGUGACAGGAUCCUCUCGUGUUGCUGGGAAGUGGCAUCGAGCUGAAGCUCCCAGGUGACACAGAUAUGGGAAGGAAAGUCCCCCAGGUCUCAGAUAUGAUGGAAUCAGAGACACAGAGAGACAAACAAACAAAACGGGAAGACUUGCCACGAUUCCGAAAAGUUGUCUAAAUUGGUCUCUAUCGAGUAAUAAAAUCACAGGUACUUCUUCA